AAGUCGUAACAAGGUUUCCGUAGGUGAACCUGCGGAAGGAUCAUUAUCGAGUUUUGAAAGGGGUUGUAGCUGGCCUUCCGAGGCAUGUGCACGCCCCGCUCAAUCCACUCUACACCUGUGCACUUACUGUGGGUUUCGGAGGUGAAGCGCGCGCUUUCGCUCGCGGAUCUAACGGGCCCGCGUUUUACUACAAACACUUUAAAGUAAACGAACGUGUAUCACGAUGUAACGCAUCUAUAUACAACUUUCAGCAACGGAUCUCUUGGCUCUC
rnacentral:misc_RNA from 1 species